AUGAACGCUAGCGACAGGCCUAACACAUGCAAGUCGAGGGGCAGCAUUUUUGAAGCUUGCUUCAAAAGAUGGCGACCGGCGCACGGGUGAGUAACGCGUAUGGAACCAACCCGCAACAGGGGGAUAACCCGGAGAAAUCCGGACUAAUACCGCAUGGUACUCUUUGCACAGAAGUGUGAAGAUUUAAAGAUGCGAAUCGGUUGCGGACGGUCAUGCGUUCCAUUAGCUAGUUGGCGGGGUAACGGCCCACCAAGGCGACGAUGGAUAGGGGUUCUGAGAGGAAGGUCCCCCACACUGGUACUGAGACACGGACCAGACUCCUACGGGAGGCAGCAGUGAGGAAUAUUGGUCAAUGGGCGAGAGCCUGAACCAGCCAAGUCGCGUGAGGGAAGACGGCCCUAUGGGUUGUAAACCUCUUUUAGAUGGGAGUAAAGUGUUCUACGCGUAGGAUAUUGCAAGUACCAUCAGAAUAAGCAUCGGCUAAUUCCGUGCCAGCAGCCGCGGUAAUACGGAAGAUGCGAGCGUUAUCCGGAUUUAUUGGGUUUAAAGGGUGCGUAGGCGGGUGAUUAAGUCAGCGGUGAAAUGCGUCAGCUUAACUGGCGAACUGCCAUUGAAACUGGUUACCUUGAGUGUAGCGGAAGUAUGCGGAAUGCGUGGUGUAGCGGUGAAAUGCAUAGAUAUCACGCAGAACUCCGAUUGCGAAGGCAGCAUACCAUACUAUAACUGACGCUGAAGCACGAAAGCGUGGGUAUCGAACAGGAUUAGAUACCCUGGUAGUCCACGCAGUAAACGAUGAAUACUCACCGUUUGCGAUAUAAUGUAAGCGGUAAAGCGAAAGCGUUAAGUAUUCCACCUGGGGAGUACGCCGGCAACGGUGAAACUCAAAGGAAUUGACGGGGGCCCGCACAAGCGGUGGAUUAUGUGGUUUAAUUCGAAGCAACGCGAAGAACCUUACCAGGUCUUGACAUCCUGCUAACGAAGUAGAGAUACAUCAGGUGCCCUUCGGGGAAAGCAGAGACAGGUGGUGCAUGGUUGUCGUCAGCUCGUGUCGUGAGAUGUUGGGUUAAGUCCCGCAACGAGCGCAACCCUUAUUGCCAGUUACUACGCAAGAGGACUCUGGCGAGACUGCCGUUGACAAAACGGAGGAAGGUGGGGAUGACGUCAAAUCAGCACGGCCCUUACGUCCGGGGCGACACACGUGUUACAAUGGCAGGGACAGAGAGCAGCCAGGCGGCGACGCCGCGCGAAUCUCCAAACCCUGUCUCAGUUCGGAUUGGAGUCUGCAACUCGACUCCAUGAAGCUGGAUUCGCUAGUAAUCGCGCAUCAGCCAUGGCGCGGUGAAUACGUUCCCGGGCCUUGUACACACCGCCCGUCACACCAUGAGAGUCGGGAAUACCCGAAGCCUGUGAGCCAACAUAUUUAUAUGAGGCAGCAGUCGAAGGUAGAAUCGAUGAUUGGGGUG
rnacentral:rRNA from 1 species